rnacentral:rRNA from 1 species
UACGUAGGCAGCAAGCGUUGUUCGGAGUUAUUGGGCGUAAAGCGCGUGUAGGCGGCUUUGCAAGUCGGGUGUGAAAGCCCUCAGCUCAACUGAGGAAGUGCGCCCGAAACUGCAGAGCUUGAGUGCCGGAGAGGGUGGCGGAAUUCCCCAAGUAGAGGUGAAAUUCGUAGAUAUGGGGAGGAACACCGGUGGCGAAGGCGGCCACCUGGACGGUAACUGACGCUGAGACGCGAAAGCGUGGGGAGCAAACAGG